rnacentral:lncRNA from 1 species
CGACAAGGCACCUUGCGGCUCUGCAAUACUCUGCAACAGAGACGGCAACGACGACGGCAACACACCCUGCAGCAAUGGCGACGACAACGCACUCUGCACGGCAACGACAAUGCACUCUGCACGGUGACGGCAACGCACUCUCGCACUCUACAACAAUGGAGUUUCUCUGCUCCGAAGAACCUCUUCAAGUGUCAGAUUCGAUUCGUGUUCAUUCUCUCUCUUUGUUUUUAUUUUUUUGCUUCGAAGCUCCGCAUAAGUUUACUUACAGUGUAUCUUCCCCAUCUUCAACCCUAAAUUUAUUCUGUGGACAGAGAUUUUGCUUACAAUUGCUUCACCGGUUCGAUUCAAGAGGAAUGGGCUUCAAU